rnacentral:rRNA from 1 species
ACGAACGCUGGCGGCGUGCUUAACACAUGCAAGUCGAACGGUGACCCACCUUCGGGUGGUGAUCAGUGGCGAACGGGUGAGUAACACGUGGGCAAUCUGCCCCUCACACUGGGAUAACUCCGGGAAACUGGGGCUAAUACCGGAUAUCACCCUGGAGGGCAUCCUCCGGGGUUGAAAGGAAUCUGGUGAGGGAUGAGCCCGCGGCCUAUCAGCUUGUUGGUGGGGUAACGGCCCACCAAGGCGACGACGGGUAGCCGGCCUGAGAGGGCGACCGGCCACACUGGGACUGAGACACGGCCCAGACUCCUACGGGAGGCAGCAGUGGGGAAUAUUGCGCAAUGGACGAAAGUCUGACGCAGCAACGCCGCGUGAGGGAACGAAGGCCCUAGGGUUGUAAACCUCUUUCAGCAGGGACGAAGCGAAAGUGACGGUACCUGCAGAAGAAGCACCGGCUAACUACGU